AGUGAACGCUGGCGGUAGGCCUAACACAUGCAAGUCGAACGGCAGCACAGUGAUUGCUCGUGCAUACGGGGGCGGAGUGGCGGAUGGGGCCUGGAAACAUCCCUGGCUGCUUGUGAUAAGGGGCGAAAGUAGGGGAACUUACGCCAUUACUGCAGACGACCUACGGGGGAAAGCAGCGGAUCUUCGGCCCUUGCGCGAGCGAAUGUGCCGAGGUCGGAUUAGCUAGUUGGCGGGGUAAAGGCCCACCAAGGCGACGAUCCGUAACUGGUCUGAGAGGAUGAUCAGUCACACUGGAACUGAGACACGGUCCAGACUCCUACGGGAGGCAGCAGUGGGGAAUAUUGGACAAUGGGCGAAAGCCUGAUCCAGCCAUGCCGCGUGUGUGAAGAAGGUCUUCGGAUUGUAAAGCACUUUAAGUUGGGAGGAAGGGCAGUAAGUUAAUACCUUGCUGUUUUGACGUUACCAACAGAAUAAGCACCGGCUAACUUCGUG
rnacentral:rRNA from 1 species